rnacentral:rRNA from 1 species
CAGCAGCCACGGUAAUACAGAGGAUGCAAGCGUUGUCCGGAAUUAUUGGGCGUAAAGGGCUCGCAGGCGGUUUCUUAAGUCUGAUGUGGAAGCCCCCGGCUCAACCGGGGAGGGUCAUUGGAAACUGGGAAACUUGAGUGCAGAAGAGGAGAGUGGAAUUCCACGUGUAGCGGUGAAAUGCGUAGAGAUGUGGAGGAACACCAGUGGCGAAGGCGACUCUCUGGUCUGUAACUGACGCUGAGGAGCGAAAGCGUGGGGAGCGAACAGGAUUAGAUACCCCUGUAGUCCCUGUCUCUUAUAC